CAGUCGCCACGGUAAUACGAAGGGGGCUAGCGUUGCUCGGAAUGACUGGGCGUAAAGGGCGCGUAGGCGGAUUUAUCAGUCAGAUGUGAAAUUCCUGGGCUUAACCUGGGGGCUGCAUUUGAUACGGUAAGUCUUGAGUGAGGAAGAGGGUUGUGGAAUUCCCAGUGUAGAGGUGAAAUUCGUAGAUAUUGGGAAGAACACCGGUGGCGAAGGCGGCAACCUGGUCCUUUACUGACGCUGAGGCGCGAAAGCGUGGGGAGCAAACAGGAUUAGAUACCCCCGUAGUCCCUGUCUCUUAUAC
rnacentral:rRNA from 1 species